ACCUCGGUGCGCAUCUCAAUGGACCUGAUAUCAGCC
rnacentral:rRNA from 1 species